rnacentral:rRNA from 1 species
GACGAACGCUGGCGGCGUGCUUAACACAUGCAAGUCGAGCGGUAAGGCCCUUUCGGGGGUACACGAGCGGCGAACGGGUGAGUAACACGUGGGUGACCUGCCCUCAGCUCUGGGAUAAGCCUGGGAAACUGGGUCUAAUACCGGAUAUGACUCCAUGACGCAUGUUGUGGGGUGGAAAGCCUUGUGCGGCUGAGGAUGGGCCCGCGGCCUAUCAGCUUGUUGGUGGGGGAUGGCCUACCAAGGCGACGACGGGUAGCCGGCCUGAGAGGGCGACCGGGCCACACUGGGACUGAGACACGGCCCAGACUCCUACGGGAGGCAGCAGUGGGGAAUCUUGCGCAAUGGGCGAAAGCCUGACGCAGCGACGCCGCGUGAGGGAUGACGGCCU